AGUGAACGCUGGCGGUAGGCCUAACACAUGCCAGUCGAACGGCAGCACAGUAAGAGCUUGCUCUUACGGGUGGCGAGUGGCGGACGGGUGAGGAAUACAUCGGAAUCUACUUUUUCGUGGGGGAUAACGUAGGGAAACUUACGCUAAUACCGCAUACGACCUACGGGUGAAAGCAGGGGAUCUUCGGACCUUGCGCGAUUGAAUGAGCCGAUGUCGGAUUAGCUAGUUUGCGGGGUAAAGGCCCACCAAGGCGACGAUCCGUAGCUGGUCUGAGAGGAUGAUCAGCCACACUGGAACUGAGACACGGUCCAGACUCCUACGGGAGGCAGCAGUGGGGAAUAUUGGACAAUGGGCGCAAGCCUGAUCCAGCCAUACCGCGUGGGUGAAGAAGGCCUUCGGGUUGUAAAGCCCUUUUGUUGGGAAAGAAAAGCAGCAGGUUAAUACCCCGCUGUUCUGACGGUACCCAAAGAAUAAGCACCGGCUAACUUCGUG
rnacentral:rRNA from 1 species